rnacentral:rRNA from 1 species
CCAGCACCUGCGGUAAUUCCAGCUCCAUUAGCGUAUAUUAACGUUGUUGCAGUUAAAAAGCUCGUAGUUGGAUUUGUGGAUGGCUGCGGUGUUCCCUUUCUGGGAUACAACUGCAUCUGUCCAGUUUUUGGGUGGAACCUGUGUGGCAUUAGGUUGUCGUGCAGGGGAUGCCCAUCGUUUACUGUGAAAAAAUCAGCGCGUUCAAAGCAGGCUUAUGCCGUUGAAUGUAUUAGCAUGGAAUAAUAAGAUAGGACCUUGGUACUAUUUUGUUGGUUUGCGCACCGAGGUAAUGAUUAAUAGGGACAGUUGGGGGCAUUCGUAUUCCAUUGUCAGAGGUGAAAUUCUUGGAUUUCUGGAAGACGAACUACUGCGAAAGCAUUUGCCAAGGAUGUUUUCAUUAAUCAAGAACGAAA